rnacentral:rRNA from 1 species
AAUGAACGCUGGCGGCAGGCCUAACACAUGCAAGUCGAACGGAUCCUUCGGGAUUAGUGGCGGACGGGUGAGUAACGCGUGGGAACAUACCCUUUGGUACGGAAUAGCCUCGGGAAACUGGGAGUAAUACCGUAUGUGGUCGAGAGACGAAAGAUUUAUCGCCAAAGGAUUGGCCCGCGUUGGAUUAGGUAGUUGGUGGGGUAAUGGCCUACCAAGCCAACGAUCCAUAGCUGGUUUGAGAGGAUGAUCAGCCACACUGGGACCGAGACGCGGCCCAGACUCCUACGGGAGGCAGCAGUGGGGAAUCUUAGACAAUGGGGGAAACCCUGAUUUAGCCAUGCCGCGUGAUCGAUGAAGGCCUUAGGGUUGUAAAGAUCUUUCAGGUGGGAAGAUAAUGACUGUACCACCAGAAGAAGCCCCGGCUAACUCCGUGCCAGCAGCCGCAGUAA